rnacentral:rRNA from 1 species
UACGGAGGGUGCGAGCGUUGUCCGGAAUCACUGGGCGUAAAGGGCGCGUAGGCGGCCUGAUAAGUAGGGGGUGAAAUCCUGCGGCUUAACCGCAGGGCUGCCUUCUAAACUGUCAGGCUCGAGCACAGUAGAGUCAGGUGGAAUUCCCGGUGUAGCGGUGGAAUGCGUAGAGAUCGGGAAGAACAUCAGUGGCGAAGGCGGCCUGCUGGGCUGUUGCUGACGCUGAGGCGCGACAGCGUGGGGAGCAAACAGG